rnacentral:rRNA from 1 species
UACAGAGGGUGCGAGCGUUAAUCGGAAUUACUGGGCGUAAAGGGUGCGUAGGUGGGUUGAUAAGUUAGAUGUGAAAUACCUGGGCUUAACCUGGGAUGGUCAUUUAAUACUGUUGACCUUGAGUAUGGUAGAGGGUAGUGGAAUUUCCGGUGUAGCGGUGAAAUGCGUAGAUAUCGGAAGGAACAUCAAUGGCGAAGGCAGCUACCUGGACUAAUACUGACACUGAGGCACGAAAGCGUGGGUAGCAAACAGG